UAUUACGAGUCAUGCCCUCACGGCGUAGACUCCCACCCUUUGUAUACCUACCUCUUGUUGCUUUGGCGGGCCGCCUAGCUACUGGCUUCGGCUGGUAAGUGCCCGCCAGAGAACCCCAAACCCAAACCCAUUUAUAGUGUCGUCUGAGAAAAAGUUUAAUAUUUAAAACUUUCAACAACGGAUCUCUUGGCUCUGGCAUCGAUGAAGAACGCAGCGAAAUGCGAUAAGUAAUGUGAAUUGCAGAAUUCAGUGAAUCAUCGAAUCUUUGAACGCACAUUGCGCCCCUUGGUAUUCCGAGGGGCAUGCCUAUUCGAGCGUCAUUAUCACCCCUCAAGCUCCGGCUUGGUGUUGAGGCCUGCUGUAAAGGCACCCUCUAAAAUCAGUGGCAGUGCCGUCCGGCUCUAAGCGUAGUAAACACGUCGCUAUAGACUCGUGCGGUCCCUCGCCAGAAACCCCCCAUUUUUUAAUGAUUGACCUCGGAUUAGGUAGGGAUACCCGCCGAACUUAAGCAUAUCAAUAGC
rnacentral:rRNA from 1 species